rnacentral:rRNA from 1 species
UUUUAAUUAUAUAUGUUCUCUAUAGAAUCUACCUUUGCUCUGCGGUCUGUGGGCACACUGCCCAUUAGGCUGGCGGGGUCGGGUUGAAUAUAUAGUUAAAAAGUUAAUAUUUAAGUGGUGUCACAAAAUCGGAGGCCCCGACUGUUUACUUAAAACACAGCUUUCUGCUACGAAUAAUAUCUGUGUAUAGAAAGCGAAUUUUGCCCAAUGCCAUUAAUAUAAGGUUGAUAAGCGCAUAGCGUAUUUAUUAAUUGAAGUUCUGGUCAAUGGCGGUCUUAUCUAUGAGGAUCCUAAGGUAGCAAAAUUAAUUGUCCAUUAAAUGUGGUCCUGACUGAAUAAAGUAACGAUGNUCUCACUGUCUCUACAAGUAUCUCAGUGAAAUNGAAUNANCNGUGCAAAUGCNGGUUAACUNCGGGUNAACGGNAAACC